rnacentral:rRNA from 1 species
CAUUCGAGUGGCGGACGGGUGAGUAACGCGUGGGUAACCUGCCUUACACAGGGGGAUAACACCUGGAAACAGGUGCUAAUACCGCAUAAGCGCACAGGGCCGCAUGGCCCGGUGUGAAAAACUCCGGUGGUGUAAGAUGGACCCGCGUCUGAUUAGCUUGUUGGCGGGGUAGGGGCCCACCAAGGCGACGAUCAGUAGCCGGCCUGAGAGGGCGGACGGCCACAUUGGGACUGAGACACGGCCCAAACUCCUACGGAAGGCAGCAG